GGGUGAGAAUCCCGUAUGUGACUGGAAAUGUUAACCUAUGUAAAGCUCCUUCGACGAGUCGAGUUGUUUGGGAAUGCAGCUCUAAAUGGGAGGUAAAUUUCUUCUAAAGCUAAAUAUUGGCGAGAGACCGAUAGCGCACAAGUAGAGUGAUCGAAAGAUGAAAAGCACUUUGGAAAGAGAGUUAAAAAGCACGUGAAAUUGUUGAAAGGGAAGCGCUUGCAAUCA
rnacentral:rRNA from 1 species